AUGUAGGUCAAGCUACAAAGG
rnacentral:rRNA from 1 species